rnacentral:rRNA from 1 species
UACGAAGGGGGCUAGCGUUGCUCGGAAUUACUGGGCGUAAAGCGUGCGUAGGCGGUUAUUUAAGUCUGUUGUGAAAUCCCCGGGCUCAACCUGGGAAUGGCAAUGGAUACUGGAUAGCUAGAGUGUGAUAGAGGAUGGUGGAAUUCCCGGUGUAGCGGUGAAAUGCGUAGAGAUCGGGAGGAACAUCAGUGGCGAAGGCGGCCAUCUGGAUCAACACUGACGCUGAGGCACGAAAGCGUGGGGAGCAAACAGG